rnacentral:rRNA from 1 species
GAGUUUGAUCCUGGCUCAGGACGAACGCUGGCGGCGUGCUUAACACAUGCAAGUGGAGCGACGAACCGGGCUUCGGCCCGGGGCAAAGCCGCGAACGGGUGAGUAACACGUGGGUAAUCUGCCCCGAUGACUGGGACAACCCGGGGAAACCCGGGCUAAUACCAGAUGUGGUCCAUUCACAUAAGUGGUUGGACUAAAGGUAGCUUCGGCCUCCGCAUCGGGAUGAGCCCGCGGCGCAUUAGCUUGUUGGUGGGGUAAAGGCCUACCAAGGCGACGAUGCGUAGCUGGUCUGAGAGGACGAUCAGCCACACUGGGACUGAGACACGGCCCAGACUCCUACGGGAGGCAGCAGUGGGGAAUCUUGCGCAAUGCGCGAAAGCGUGACGCAGCAACGCCGCGUGGGGGAAGAAGGCCUUCGGGUUGUAAACCCCUUUCAGGAGGGACGAAGCCUGUCUGGUGAAUAGCCAGUUCAGGUGACGGUACCUCCACAAGAAGCCCCGGCUAACUACGUGCCAGCAGCCGCGGUAAUACGUAGGGGGCAAGCGUUGUCCGGAAUCAUUGGGCGUAAAGAGCGCGUAGGCGGCCCAGUAAGUCCGCUCUGAAAGUCAGGGGCUCAACCCCUGAAUGCGGGUGGAUACUGCUGGGCUAGAGUCCGGAAGAGGUGAGUGGAAUUCCUGGUGUAGCGGUGAAAUGCGCAGAUAUCAGGAGGAACACCGAUGGCGAAGGCAGCUCACUGGGACGGUACUGACGCUGAGUCGCGAAAGCGUGGGGAGCAAACAGGAUUAGAUACCCAGUAGUCCACGCCGUAAACGAUGGACACUAGGUGUGGGAGGUGUCGACUCCUCCCGUGCCGAAGCUAACGCAUUAAGUGUCCCGUCUGGGGAGUACGGCCGCAAGGCUAAUCUCAAAGGAAUUGACGGGGGUCCGCACAAGCAGCGGAGCAUGUGUUCUAAUUCGACGCAACGCGAAGAUCCUUACAUGGGCUUGACAUGACCGUGACCGCCGUGGAAACACGGCUUCCCUUCGGGGCAGGGCCACAGGUGGUGCAUGGCUGUCGUCAGCUCGUGUCCUGAGAUGUUUGGUUAAGUCCCACAACGAGCGCAACCCCUAUGGCAUUUUUCCAGCAUUUAGUUGGGGUGUCAUGCGAGUUUGCCGGUGACAAACCGGAGGAAGGUGGGGAUGACGUCAAGUCUUCAUGCCCUGUAUCUGCAGCAGUACACACGAUCUACAUUGGCGCAUACAAAGGGCAGCGAUCCCGUGAGGUGGAGCGAAUCCCAAAAAAUGUAUUUCGGUUCGGAUAGGAGGCGGAAACUAGCCUGAAGGAAGGCGGAGUUCAUACUAAUACGGAAUCAGCAACGUUGGGGUGAAUACGUUGCCGGGCCUUGUACACACCAGUCAUCACAGCACGAAAGCGGGCAACACUCGAAGCCGGUGGGCUAACCCUUACGGGAGGCAGCCGUUGAAGGUGGGGCUCGUGAUUGGGGAGAAGUCGUAACAAGGUAGCCGUACCGGAAGGUGCGGCUGGAUCACCUCCUUUCU